rnacentral:tRNA from 1 species
GUCUCGGUAGCUCAGCAGGAUAGAGCACAGGUUUCCUAAACCUGGGGUCGGGGGUUCGAUUCCCUCCCGGGACA